rnacentral:rRNA from 1 species
AGUGAACGCCGGCGGUAGGCCUAACACAUGCAAGUCGAACGGCAGCACAGUAAGAGCUUGCUCUUACGGGUGGCGAGUGGCGGACGGGUGAGGAAUACAUCGGAAUCUACUUUUUCGUGGGGGAUAACGUAGGGAAACUUACGCUAAUACCGCAUACGACCUACGGGUGAAAGCAGGGGAUCUUCGGACCUUGCGCGAUUGAAUGAGCCGAUGUCGGAUUAGCCAGUUGGCGGGGUAAAGGCCCACCAAGGCGACGAUCCGUAGCUGGUCUGAGAGGAUGAUCAGCCACACUGGAACUGAGACACGGUCCAGACUCCUACGGGAGGCAGCAGUGGGGAAUAUUGGACAAUGGGCGCAAGCCUGAUCCAGCCAUACCGCGUGGGUGAAGAAGGCCUUCGGGUUGUAAAGCCCUUUUGUUGGGAAAGAAAAGCAGCAGGUUAAUACCCCGCUGUUCUGACGGUACCCAAAGAAUAAGCACCGGCUAACUUCGUG